rnacentral:rRNA from 1 species
AUUGAACGCUGGCGGCAUGCCUUACACAUGCAAGUCGAACGGCAGCACGGGUGCUUGCACCUGGUGGCGAGUGGCGAACGGGUGAGUAAUACAUCGGAACAUGUCCUGUAGUGGGGGAUAGCCCGGCGAAAGCCGGAUUAAUACCGCAUACGAUCUACGGCUGACAGCGGGGGACCUUCGGGCCUCGCGCUAUAGGGUUGGCCGAUGGCUGAUUAGCUGGUUGGUGGGGUAAAGGCCUACCAAGGCGACGAUCAGUAGCUGGUCUGAGAGGACGACCAGACACCCUGGGACAGGACGACGGCCCAGACUCCUACGGGAGGCCGCAGUGGGGACUUUUGGGCGAUGGGCGAAAGGCUGAUCCAGCAAUGCCGCGUGUGUGAAGAAGGCCUUCGGGUUGUAAAGCAGUUUUGUCCGGAGAGGAGUACUUCGCUCUAAUACGGUCGGGGGAUGACGGUACCGGGAGAAUAAGCACCGGCUAACUACGUG